rnacentral:rRNA from 1 species
UACAGAGGUCUCAACCGUUGUUCGGAUUCAUUGGGCGUAAAGGGUGCGUAGGCGGUCGCGCAAGUCGGGUGUGAAAUCCCAGGGCUCAACCCUGGAACUGCAUUCGAUACUGCGUGGCUCGGGUACUGGAGAGGAGACUGGAAUUUACGGUGUAGCAGUGAAAUGCGUAGAUAUCGUAAGGAAGACCAGUGGCGAAGGCGAGUCUCUGGACAGUUACCGACGCUGAGGCACGAAGGCCAGGGGAGCAAACGGG